rnacentral:rRNA from 1 species
CCUACGGGGUGCAGCAGGCGAGAAAACUUUGCAAUGUGCGAAAGCACGACAAGGUUAAUCCGAGUGAUUUCUGCUAAAGAAAUCUUUUGCAAGUCAUAAAACCACUAGUGAAUAAGGGGUGGGCAAGUUCUGGUGUCAGCCGCCGCGGUAAAACCAGCACCUCAAGUGGUCAGGAGGAUUAUUGGGCCUAAAGCAUCCGUAGCCGGCUCUGUAAGUUUUCGGUUAAAUCCAUGUGCUCAACGCAUGGGCUGCCGAAAAUACUGCAUAGCUAGGGAGUGGGAGAGGUAGACGGUACUCGGUAGGAAGGGGUAAAAUCCUUUGAUCUAUCGAUGACCACCUGUGGCGAAGGCGGUCUACCAGAACACGUUCGACGGUGAGGGAUGAAAGCUGGGGGAGCAAACCGGAUUAGAUACCCGGGUAGUCCCAGCUGUAAACGAUGCAGACUCGAUGAUGCAUUGGCAUAUAGCCAGUGCAGUGUCGCAGGGAAGCCGUUAAGUCUGCCGCCUGGGAAGUACGUACGCAAGUAUGAAACUUAAAGGAAUUGGCGGGGGAGCACCACAAGGGGUGAAGCCUGCGGUUCAAUUGGAGUCAACGCCAGAAAUCUUACCCGGAGAGACAGCAGAAUGAAGGUCAAGCUGAAGACUUUACCAGACAAGCUGAGAGGUGGUGCAUGGCCGUCGCCAGCUCGUGCCGUGAGAUGUCCUGUUAAGUCAGGUAACGAGCGAGAUCCUCGCCACUAGUUGCUAUCAUUAUUCUCAGGAAUAGUGGGGCGAAUUAGUGGGACUGCCGUUGUUAAAACGGAGGAAGGAGGGGGCUACGGCAGGUCAGUAUGCCCCGAAACUCUGGGGCCACACGCGGGCUGCAAUGGUAGCGACAAUGAGCUCCAAACUCGAAAGAGAGUGGCAAUCUCUAAACGCUACCACAGUUAUGACUGAGGGCUGUAACUCGCCCUCACGAAUAUGGAAUCCCUAGUAACCGCGUGUCAUUACCGCGCGGUGAAUACGUCCCUGCUCCUUGCACACACCGCCCGUC